UACAGAGGUCCCAAGCGUUACUGAGAAUCACUGGGUUUAAAGGGUGCGUAGGUGGUGCGUUAAGUCAGUUGUGAAAUCCCCGGGCUCAACCCGGGAACUGCUUCUGAUACUGGCGGACUUGAGGCCAGUAGGGGUCACUAGAACUGACGGUGGAGCGGUGAAAUGCGUAGAUAUCGUCAGGAAUGCCGGUGGUGAAGGCGGCUGACUGGGCUGGUUCUGACACUGAGGCGCGAAAGCGUGGGGAGCGAACAGG
rnacentral:rRNA from 1 species